UUGUCUUCGAGACAAGAUAGGUUGUGGAAGUGAGCUUAUUUUGGAAGUGAUCAUGAAAAUAACAUUGAAGCUAUAUACACUUGACUAGAUAAAUUUCAUGUGAAGCACUUAAAUUGGUAGCAGUGAUAACCCUGUAGAAUAGCAACUUGCUAUCAGUAUUUUCUGCAUUUGUUAUUAAUUUUUCUGCAGAGUUUAGGCUCAAGAGAUUUGGGAAGCUCAAUUCAAAAGUUGGGUGAUUCGGAUAAGUGGUUCUUCUAUUGGUUGGUUCCCUAGGAAAAAGACUGAAUCUUAUUCGAAGAGAGAGAUAAAGCGUCUUCAGAGAACGGGCAUACGGGGAUGCUUAGAACCUGAAGGAAGAAGGCUUAAAACCAACACUCUAGUGAUGCUGCCAGGAUGUUGUCCUUAGCAUCCUUGAUGAUACGCUGAUGGCGUGGCCUCUGCGAUGCUUGUGCAUCCCUACAAUUUGCUCUACUUCCCUGAGGACGCAAGAUGGAGUUAGAUCGCCGCUGAAUUUCGCGCUAUGAUGGUGCAACUAGAGAUCUGUACCAACUUUCCCAUCUCCUGGAGAUCCAGUAUUACAAGG